rnacentral:rRNA from 1 species
AGAGUUUGAUCCUGGCUCAGGAUGAACGCUAGCUACAGGCUUAACACAUGCAAGUCGAGGGGCAGCAUGGACUCAGCUUUGCUGGGUUUGAUGGCGACCGGCGCACGGGUGAGUAACGCGUAUCCAACCUGCCCUUUACUCCGGGAUAGUCUCCUGAAAGGGAGUUUAAUACCGGAUGUGUUUGUCUUUCCGCAUGGGAGCGACAAAUAAAGAUUGAUUGGUAAAGGAUGGGGAUGCGUCCCAUUAGCUGGUUGGCGGGGUAACGGCCCACCAAGGCGACGAUGGGUAGGGGUUCUGAGAGGAAGGUCCCCCACAUUGGAACUGAGACACGGUCCAAACUCCUACGGGAGGCAGCAGUGAGGAAUAUUGGUCAAUGGGCGGGAGCCUGAACCAGCCAAGUAGCGUGAAGGACGACGGCCCUACGGGUUGUAAACUUCUUUUAUAAGGGAAUAAAGUUCGCCACGUGUGGUGUUUUGUAUGUACCUUAUGAAUAAGCAUCGGCUAAUUCCGUGCCAGCAGCCGCGGUAAUACGGAAGAUGCGAGCGUUAUCCGGAUUUAUUGGGUUUAAAGGGAGCGUAGGCGGGCUUUUAAGUCAGCGGUCAAAUGUCACGGCUCAACCGUGGCCAGCCGUUGAAACUGCAAGUCUUGAGUCUGCACAGGGCACAUGGAAUUCGUGGUGUAGCGGUGAAAUGCUUAGAUAUCACGAAGAACUCCGAUCGCGAAGGCAUUGUGCCGGGGCAUAACUGACGCUGAGGCUCGAAAGUGCGGGUAUCAAACAGGAUUAGAUACCCUGGUAGUCCGCACGGUAAACGAUGAAUGCUCGCUAUGGGCGAUAUAUGGUCCGUGGCCAAGCGAAAGCGUUAAGCAUUCCACCUGGGGAGUACGCCGGCAACGGUGAAACUCAAAGGAAUUGACGGGGGC